rnacentral:rRNA from 1 species
CACGUAGGGUGCGAGCGUUGUCCGGAUUCAUUGGGCGUAAAGAGCUCGUAGGCGGUUCAGUAAGUCGGGUGUGAAACCUCCAGGCUCAACCUGGAGACGCCACCCGAUACUGCUGUGACUAGAGUCCAGUAGGGGAGCGUGGAAUUCCUGGUGUAGCGGUGAAAUGCGCAGAUAUCAGGAGGAACACCAGCGGCGAAGGCGGCGCUCUGGGCUGGAACUGACGCUGAGGAGCGAAAGCGUGGGGAGCGAACAGG